AGAGUUUGAUCCUGGCUCAGAAUGAACGCUGGCGGCGUGCCUAACACAUGCAAGUCGUACGAGAAAGGGGCUUCGGCCCUGAGUAGAGUGGCGCACGGGUGAGUAACGCGUGGGUAAUCUACCCUUGGAUUUGGGAUAACUCUGCGAAAGUGGAGCUAAUACCGGAUAGUCUGGCUUUAAAUAAGAAGUCGGUAAAGGAUGCCUCUGCAUAUGCAUUCGUCCGAGGAUGAGCCCGCGUCUCAUUAGCUAGUUGGUAGGGUAAUGGCCUACCAAGGCAACGAUGAGUAGCUGGUCUGAGAGGAUGAUCAGCCACACUGGAACUGAAACACGGUCCAGACUCCUACGGGAGGCAGCAGUGGGGAAUAUUGCGCAAUGGGCGAAAGCCUGACGCAGCAACGCCGUGUGAGGGAUGAAGGCUUUCGGGUCGUAAACCUCUGUCGGAAGGGAAGAACGGGCAUUGGUCUAAUAGGCCUUUGUUUUGACGGUACCUUUAGAGGAAGCACCGGCUAACUCCGUGCCAGCAGCCGCGGUAAUACGGAGGGUGCAAGCGUUAUUCGGAAUUACUGGGCGUAAAGCGCACGUAGGCGGCCUUGUAAGUCAGGGGUGAAAUCCCACGGCUCAACCGUGGAACUGCCUUUGAAACUGCAGGGCUUGAAUCCUGGAGAGGGUGGCGGAAUUCCUGGUGUAGGAGUGAAAUCCGUAGAUAUCAGAGGAACACCGGUGGCGAAGCGGCCACCUGGACAGGUAUUGACGCUGAGUGCGAAAGUGGUGGGGAGCAAACAGGAUUAGAUACCCUGGUAGUCCACACCGUAACGAUGGAUACU
rnacentral:rRNA from 1 species